UACAGAGGGUGCGAGCGUUAAUCGGAAUUACUGGGCGUAAAGGGCGCGUAGGUGGAGACAUAAGUGAGAUGUGAAAGACCCGGGCUUAACUUGGGGAUGUCGUCUCAUACUGUGUUUCUCGAGUAUGGGAGAGGGAAGUGGAAUUUCUGGUGUAGCGGUGAAAUGCGUAGAUAUCAGAAGGAACAUCCGUGGCGAAGGCGACUUCCUGGCCCAAUACUGACACUGAGGCGCGAAAGCGUGGGUAGCGAACAGG
rnacentral:rRNA from 1 species